GGCUCCUGGGCAGAGUGGGUGGGAACCAACCUCCCCAGGGACAGUGAGGGGCCCUUGGCCUUGUUUGGCAGCCUCUGCCUCCCGGCCAAGGUGACUCUGAGGAUGGAGAGGACUCCAGUUCAGCUCAGCCUCAGUCCCUCAGCAGACCCCCGCCUCCCCCACGCCAUGCGCCCUCCCAUGUGGCACACUGGUGAGCUGGGUGUUGGUCUUGAUGGCCGGUUCCCCACACCAGGACGCAAAUGUGGUGACAGCAGAGAUUUUGAUUCUGCAUCCUCUGCUCGGCCCCCAUCUAGCACACUGCUUGGCACGUAGUAGAUGCUCAUUAAACACGGGUUGAGUGACCACACAGACGAACUCUUCCCAGCCAUCUGGGGAACCUAGAAGCCAUGCUGGGAUUCCCUAGGACAGUGGCUCUCUCCUUUGCCUGCCCUUCAGAGCUACCCAUGGCCGCCUAGGCCCCAGCCCCAGCCCCAGAAGGUCUGAGUUAAUUGCUCUGGGAUGAGGCUUUAGAAGCAUAAUUCUAAAAAGCUCUCCAGGUCAUUCCGAUGUGCAGCCAAGGUUAGGAGUUUGGGCCAGAGGAGAGGCUCCUUCCUCGUGGCCACGGGAGCCCGUGGUGCCCAGCCCACCAGUCACCGGGAGAUAGCAGAGGGUCAACGAGCAGCUGACGGAAUAGAGGAACCGUGCACUGACUGGAGCUACUCACUGACCCUUAGGGAGCUCACGGGUUGAAUCUGUGCGCCAAACAGAUGACGGUGAGCCACGUGACGUUUCCUUUCCUGGAGGGAAGGAGUCGCAGCCUCGUCGGUUCCCCCAGGGAUCAGGGAGCGAGAAGAUCCUCUGCAACUCCCGCCCCUGCGUGUGGGUGACCUGAGCUUGUCCCGAGCCACAGGUCUCGGGCACCCUGGCCUGUCUGAGUGGGACGCAGGGUCGGGAGACGGAAGCACUCCUUGGAGAGCGUCGCUCAGCCCCAGGACACAAGAACCCCGUGUUCCUCACUGGGGACAGGCAAGGAGGUGAGACAGGGUGGCUUGGGAGAGAUGCUCGGAGUAAGGGACGUGGCCAGGGCCACAGCUGUGGGAACAGGGACCCCCAUGAGCCCUCCAGGGGACGGGCACUAGAGAGGCAGGGGUUGGGCACGUGGCAGAGGGUUGGGCCUUUGGACUUGCUUUGUCACCGCACAAGUACGGAGUAGGGCAGAAGCCCUGGUGCUGGGGAUUGACGGGGACAAACUGGGACAUGUUCCGUCCCCUUCCCCAGUCUACCUGCCCCAGGAACACUGUCAUGGGCCUGAAAGGAAUACCCGGGGCUUGUCCAGAAUUAAUGGCCGAGAUACGCAGCGGCCAGAGGGUCCCUGUACAGCUGGGGACAGAGGGGCCUCCUGGAGAGCGGCUGGGAGGGGCACCCCCUUCAAUCCUCGGGCUGUUCUGGGGGUCUCGGGCAGCGUCCCCUGUGGGUCCUGUUCCAUGACAGCCUGCUCACUUUUGCCUGCCACCUGCAGGACCCCCGGGGAAGCUGUCCCUAUGGUGUCCCUGCUGUGCUAAAGGUCACGCUGCCCUGCUCAGAGCCUUGUCCUGGCAUCCCCUGGAGCCACGGUCCCCAGGUCUCAAACGGAGCAGCACCUCUGAGCCCACCCAGCCAGAGCCACAGCACCACGGGAGAAGUGGGUGGCAGGUAAACCGGGCAUCUCAUGUGGGGACCACGCCCAGGCUGACCUGCCAGUCUCCAGUCGUAGUGUACUCCCGGGGUGGACCAGGGGCACUCACCACUGAGCCACGCCCCCAGCCCUCUUGAUUUAGAGACAGGGUCUCCCUCAGUGCCUCAGGGUCUCACUAAGCUGCAGAGGCUGGGUUUGAACUCACGAUCCUCAGCCUCCCGAGCUGCUGGGAUGACAGCUGUGGGCCUCUGCGCCUGGCCCUGUGUCCAGUCCCGCUGGCUGCCCGCCCCAGGAGAGCCGCUUCGGCUCAAAUGCACGCGGCUUCUCUUGCCCCGCGGUCCCUCUCUCACACAGGUCAACUUCUUUGCCCAGGUGACUGGCGCCCACAGGACCAGCAGCCAGAAAGACACGGCCCGGGUCCUAGCCGAGGGUCGACGGGAGACCUGGUUACAGGAAGUGACCGUGGAGGUGGACCAGUGUCUGCCCUUCCCCGGCGUGGCUGGCAGUGCUGGCCAGUCAUGCGUCUUCUCAUUGAUUUCUCCAACCCUUGGCCUGCAGGUGGAGCUAACAGAAUGUGGGCAGCAGCGGCGUCACCUCUCCACAGGGACAGGCCAUUGACAUCUCCUGUGCAUGAUCCUUCCUUCCUUCCCUCUCUGUUGGGAGCUGGCAUGAGGCCCGCCGCGCCCUGAGUGAAGGGACCCCGGAUCCCUGUAUGGCCGUGGGGAGUGGAAGCCCUGCCCCCCACCCGUGGGCUUCCCGGCUCAGCCACUGAAGUUGGGGUGAGUCAUCCCUGGCCACAACGGAGUGGAUGCUCUGUGAGCCCCGACGCUGCCAGUGCGCGGUCUGCAUGCAGCCCCUGAGGGCCCCUGGAGUGGGCUCCGGGCCGGGGUCUCCUCACCCUGUACCCUAAGUGUCUCGGCAUCAGAUCCCCGGAUGGGGAAGAGUCUACCCUUCCUCAUAUCAUGAGGAUGGAGAAGAACAUCCGCAGAAACCCCACCAUCCCAGAAACUGGCCCUCAGCCGCAGGCCCCUGCCCGGUGUCCACCCCAGCUUAGCCGAAGCCCUUGCUGGGGUGGCCCGCAGGUCCCUGAAUGUGACGCACCUGGUCACUCCAUGAUUCAUUCAUUCAGCAAGUUUUUCCUGGACGGUUCCUUCUGUCUUCCGCAGGUCGCUGAGUCCCUGCUCUGUGUUGGCCUCGAGGUAGCCCCGGCCCUCGGAGGCCCUGGUUCAUGGAGGCGAGGGACACAGAGAGGAGGGCAGACUCCUGUGUGUCAGGGCAAUGUCAGGAGGACAGCGAACCUGGGGAGGGUAGCCCUGGGGCACACGUGUGUGUGUGUGUGUGUGUGUGUGUGUCCUCAGUCAGAAGGAGCACAUGCAGACCGAGGAGGAGGUCACAGGGGGCCACAGAGAGGACAGGUCCCGGGGGCUCCGCAGGGGCUGUGGCCUCCACCCCGAGUGAUGGAGGGAUCGCUGAGAGUCUUCAGCAGAGGAGUCGGAUCCGCUGCUGAGUGGACCGUGGGGGCCCGGGUGGAGCACAGAGCCAGUUGGCUGGCGCAGUCAUCUCGGGGUGUGAUGGGGGUGGCUUGGGCCUGGAGGGUGGUUUCACUCGGGCCAGCUGGGGUCCAAGUCUUGUGCCAGCCGUUGCAGUGACAUCGUGUGGUCCCCUUAGCUCUCUGAACCUUAGCCCUCCGUCUGGGAAGUGAGUAAUAACAUGGAGACUGGCGCUCUCCGGGGGACGCUGUGGGGCCUGGGCUGAGUCAGGGCGGAUCUGCUCCCACAGGAUCCGUCCCCCGCUGACCCGAGAGCGAGCUGUGCAAAGUGCGCAGCGUGUCUGUGUGCGCAGGUGCGUGAACACGUGUGUGAGCCCGUCGUCGCGCAAACACAUGCACAGGACAACCACAGACACGCCUGUCCCCAGCAGGGCCCUGGGACAGCCCUCCCCGAGGUUCCCCACCCGCCCACCGUCUCCCCUCAGCUCCCCUCCCUGGUCCCCUCUGGGGUCCGUCCCCAGGGCCCAGCCUGGCCAAGUGCUUUGCUGGCUCCCUGCAGCGAGUCCCUGAGCACCGGCUGUGUCCUCACUUGCAGGGUGACAGGUGUCCUCCUAAGGACAGCCACCCUCAUGCCCCAGACCCGCACUUGGCUGGCACUGAGACCCGGUUGUCUGGCCCCGGCCCCGGGGCCCUCCCAGCACCGGGCUGGUAACCCAGCUGCUCCCACCGUGGUCCUUGCUCCCCGGUGACUCGACUGGGCUCCAAGACACAGAGUAUCGGGGGCAGCGAAGUGCUCUGUGGACCCAGAGCCAUGGCUGCCGCUCUCCUCAGGUCCACAGGGCACUGACGCAAGACCCAGGGACCAGGGUCGAUGCCCUCUCCAGGGAGGACCCACUCAGCCAGAGCCUGGAGAGUGCUCUGUGUGAAGGUGACCCCUCGUCUCCAGGCGCCUGAUGGAAUCCUUGCUCCUGUUUUUCCCCUUAAGGCAUUAAAAAUAAAUAAACAAACAUCCAUGUGCCCAAGAAAUAAGACAUUACUGAUGUGCCCUGCUGGGGUUUGACUCUAGAAUGUUCCCCAGAGACCCAGAUAGUGAAAGACGUGGUCCCCAGUCCCUGGGGCUGUCUGGAGGUGGCAGAACCUAGGUGAGGUAGGACCUAGUGGAAGAAGGUCCCUGGCGAAUGUCUUUAAAGGGGACAUUGGGACCCCAGUCACGUCCUCUCUCUCCUCCUCCUGCUUCCUAGAUGCCAUGAGGUAGACAGGCCUCCUCCACCAUGUCUGCCCGCCAUGAGGCACUGUGCUGCCACAGGCCCAAAGCAACAGGCCAAGGGACCAUGACCUGAAACCACUGAAACUGUG
rnacentral:lncRNA from 1 species